rnacentral:lncRNA from 1 species
GUAGACAAGGUAAAAUCAUAUCAAGGUCAUUCAGAUAGCUCCAUUAAAACAUAUGUUUUGCAAUAUUGUCAAGUAACAUAAGGUGGGACAAUAGUGCGUAACAAAUACAUGAAACAACAAUAACAAUCCAAUAAAAAAACAGUCCAAAUUAUGAAACUCAAACUAAAAGAAGGUACCCAACUGAUUAUUGUACAAAUGCAUUCAUUAUUUCUGAUAGUGGGUAACCUUGUUUCAGAUCUCUUCACAAGUUAAUUAGUGAAUACUUCUAAACAUAGAUUUACUGUGUUAGAAAAGGUGGCUCAUUUUCAAGUAAAGGAAAUUUAAUUCAUCAAAAAUCAUUGAUAAUAUAAGUUGCAAUAUAAGACAAAAUUUUAAUUCAAGACAUGUAUAUACCGAAUUAUUGUCAUUUUAUUUUUAAGGGCUUUGAGUGAAAGGUUGCAGAUUAGACUUUUCAAGUACAUUGUCACCUGCAAGCCGAGCACAAGAAAAAUAAAAAAUAUUUCAAUUAAGUGAUGUUAGUAGGUUUACCAAAUUAUAGAUCUAAGAAGUUUGCAAUGACUAAUAAUUGAAUGUGAGAACGAAAAAUAAUCCUAUGGCAUCCAUACUACUUAUCACUACUACUAAUUCAUGUAAAGAUCAUGAAUUGUUGACGAAACCACAAAGAGGCAGCCAACCAUACUAUUUAUCAGUAAUACUAAUUGUUGUAAACAUCAAGAAUUGUUAUCCCGGUAAUCUUCUGUCGUAAGCUUAUUAGCUGGACAAUUAUAAUGAGCAAUUGUCGGGUACCAAGGACCAAGGACGUGAAUAUUUGGAAAUAGACAUAUUGGUGAAAGAAGAGUGGCACUGAAUAUGCAAGAGGCUGUGGCCAUUGACUCUAAGGGACAAGUGCAUAAGUCCAAUCGCUCAAGUUUUUGAGAAAAGAUCAGCUAGAUGAAGAGGAGGUUGCUCUAUGUACAAAAUCCUCUAGAGCAUCUGCCCAUCUCCUCUGAUCCUCUCUCAGGUGGUGACUCGGGCAGUAUGGCCGCGCGCCUACCAGUCUCCAAAUAUGCUCAAAUCAAUUGACCAUCGCCAACAACAUUACCUAUAUGUACAAAUUGGAUUGGAAGUAUGUCAGGACAAAGAAAUUGUUUUGUGGAAAAAGGAAUCGUACAUGAAAAUGAAAUAAAUAUAGGGGGACCUGGUGUAUUGUUGUUCCCAUACAAAUGUCCUCUUGUACAGUGCCCUCCAUCACCUCCAGCCUGAAUUAUGCAGUUGCUGGAGCACCAUCGAGAAGAACAGGUUGCCCUACAAGAGUACCCUGUACAAGAAGAAGAGAGGAGGAUUAAAUUAGAAUAGGCGUUGAUCCACCGUCGCCGGCUAGGAGCAGGAUGAGACGUCAUCCGCUCUACCGCCACCGUUGCCGCCAGAGCUAUGGAUGUAGAUAUGUGUUCCAAAGGCCAGCGGCCCAUGCCGCACCCUCGCCCCGCCCAGCACCACCCCACGCGGGUUCCAUCGCCGCAACCUCAGCGGAGGCGUUGCCGGCUCGUUGCCGCUGCCGCCUUCAGGACCUGAGAGAGAAGGGGAGGGAAGAUGAGCAAACUGACCAGGCAGCCGCUCGAGCGUCGGAUCCCCUCAUACGCCUCGCCUUGGCUGGAUCCCCUGGACCGCCGGUUGCCUCGCACGCGUCUCGUUGGCUCCCUUGAGCGCUAGAUCCCUCUUGCGCGGCUGGCAUCCGCUGGAUCCGGUCG